rnacentral:rRNA from 3 species
GUCGAACGAACUCUGGUAUUGAUUGGUGCUUGCAUCAUGAUUUACAUUUGAGUGAGUGGCGAACUGGUGAGUAACACGUGGGAAACCUGCCCAGAAGCGGGGGAUAACACCUGGAAACAGAUGCUAAUACCGCAUAACAACUUGGACCGCAUGGUCCGAGCUUGAAAGAUGGCUUCGGCUAUCACUUUUGGAUGGUCCCGCGGCGUAUUAGCUAGAUGGUGGGGUAACGGCUCACCAUGGCAAUGAUACGUAGCCGACCUGAGAGGGUAAUCGGCCACAUUGGGACUGAGACACGGCCCAAACUCCUACGGGAGGCAGCAGUAGGGAAUCUUCCACAAUGGACGAAAGUCUGAUGGAGCAACGCCGCGUGAGUGAAGAAGGGUUUCGGCUCGUAAAACUCUGUUGUUAAAGAAGAACAUAUCUGAGAGUAACUGUUCAGGUAUUGACGGUAUUUAACCAGAAAGCCACGGCUAACUACGUGCCAGCAGCCGCGGUAAUACGUAGGUGGCAAGCGUUGUCCGGAUUUAUUGGGCGUAAAGCGAGCGCAGGCGGUUUUUUAAGUCUGAUGUGAAAGCCUUCGGCUCAACCGAAGAAGUGCAUCGGAAACUGGGAAACUUGAGUGCAGAAGAGGACAGUGGAACUCCAUGUGUAGCGGUGAAAUGCGUAGAUAUAUGGAAGAACACCAGUGGCGAAGGCGGCUGUCUGGUCUGUAACUGACGCUGAGGCUCGAAAGUAUGGGUAGCAAACAGGAUUAGAUACCCUGGUAGUCCAUACCGUAAACGAUGAAUGCUAAGUGUUGGAGGGUUUCCGCCCUUCAGUGCUGCAGCUAACGCAUUAAGCAUUCCGCCUGGGGAGUACGGCCGCAAGGCUGAAACUCAAAGGAAUUGACGGGGGCCCGCACAAGCGGUGGAGCAUGUGGUUUAAUUCGAAGCUACGCGAAGAACCUUACCAGGUCUUGACAUACUAUGCAAAUCUAAGAGAUUAGACGUUCCCUUCGGGGACAUGGAUACAGGUGGUGCAUGGUUGUCGUCAGCUCGUGUCGUGAGAUGUUGGGUUAAGUCCCGCAACGAGCGCAACCCUUAUUAUCAGUUGCCAGCAUUAAGUUGGGCACUCUGGUGAGACUGCCGGUGACAAACCGGAGGAAGGUGGGGAUGACGUCAAAUCAUCAUGCCCCUUAUGACCUGGGCUACACACGUGCUACAAUGGAUGGUACAACGAGUUGCGAACUCGCGAGAGUAAGCUAAUCUCUUAAAGCCAUUCUCAGUUCGGAUUGUAGGCUGCAACUCGCCUACAUGAAGUCGGAAUCGCUAGUAAUCGCGGAUCAGCAUGCCGCGGUGAAUACGUUCCCGGGCCUUGUACACACCGCCCGUCACACCAUGAGAGUUUGUAACACCCAAAGUCGGUGG